rnacentral:lncRNA from 1 species
AAACACAAAGGUAAAAAACAUCAACAAAGAGGUGCUUGGCGAUCCCUGUAAGAAGCAAACCUAAAGAUGGAGGGGAUAAGGACCAAGAGGUGACCUUGUUUGUGUGCAAGGAUGCAAAUGAUAUGUGGGAUCUUAGGGUUAAAAAUUAGGGUCUGACACUUACCUUGUUAUUCCUAGCAAUGAUACUCUUCAUAUGCUUCUCCUUCCUUGCCCUAGCCUAUUUCUCUACUUUCUCCUCACAACUUCACGUAGAAUGCAAAAUAGUCCAU